rnacentral:rRNA from 1 species
CGUCUUUUGUAAAAAAUAAAAGAUAUAGUCUGCCCACUGAUUUAUUAAAUGGCCGCGGUAUCUUGACCGUGCGAAGGUAGCAUAAUCAUUUGUCUAUUAAAUGUAGACUGGUAUGAAUGGCUAGAUGAGGAGAAGCUGUCUUAAAAUUUUUAAAAAUGAAUUUUAGAUUUUUGUGAAGACGCUAAAAUGAAUCUAAAAGACGAGAAGACCCUAUAAAACUUUAUAAGUAGUAUUUUAUUAAAGUAUAAGUUUAAAUUAUUUUAUUGGGGCGAUAGUAAGACAAAAAAACUCUUAUUUAUAUCUAAUAUUUAUAAAUAAAUUGUAAUUUAUGAUCCAUCAGUGGUGAUUUUAAGAAUAAGUUACUUUAGGGAUAACAGCGUAAUUUUAUUGGAGAGAUCAUAUUGAUAAUAAAGAUUGCGACCUCGAUGUUGAAUUAGGAUACCUCUAAGGUGCAGUUGUUCUUGAAGGUAGUCUGUUCGACUAUUAAAAUCCUACA